GACGAACGCUGGCGGCGUGCUUAACACAUGCAAGUCGAACGCUGAAGGCCUGGCUUUUGUUGGGUUGGAUGAGUGGCGAACGGGUGAGUAACACGUGAGUAACCUGCCCUCUUCUUUGGGAUAACGCCCGGAAACGGGUGCUAAUACUGGAUAUUCACUGAUCUUCGCAUGGGGGUUGGUGGAAAGGUUUGUUCUGGUGGGGGAUGGGCUCGCGGCCUAUCAGCUUGUUGGUGGGGUGAUGGCCUACCAAGGCUUUGACGGGUAGCCGGCCUGAGAGGGUGGCCGGUGACAUUGGGACGGAGAUACGGCCCAGACUCCUACGGGAGGCAGCAGUGGGGAAUAUUGCACAAUGGGCGAAAGCCUGAUGCAGCGACGCCGCGUGAGGGAUGGAGGCCUUCGGGUUGUAAACCUCUUUCGCUCAUGGUCAAGCCGCAACUGUGGGUUGUGGUGAGGGUAGUGGGUAAAGAAGCGCCGGCUAACUACGUG
rnacentral:rRNA from 1 species